rnacentral:rRNA from 1 species
UACGAAGGGUGCAAGCGUUACUCGGAAUUACUGGGCGUAAAGCGUGCGUAGGCGGUUUGUUAAGUCCGCUGUGAAAGCCCUGGGCUCAACCUGGGAAUUGCAGUGGAUACUGGCAAGCUAGAGUGCGGUAGAGGAUGGUGGAAUUCCCGGUGUAGCGGUGAAAUGCGUAGAGAUCGGGAGGAACACCCGUGGCGAAGGCGGCUCUCUGGGACGUGACUGACGCUGAGACGCGAAAGCGUGGGGAGCGAACAGG